AAUCAACGCUGGCGGCGUGCCUAACACAUGCAAGUCGAACGCGAAAGCCCCGCAAGGGGCAAGUAGAGUGGCAAACGGGUGAGUAACACGUGGGUGACCUGCCUUCGAGCGGGGGAUAACGUCCCGAAAGGGACGCUAAUACCGCAUAACAUCCUGCCUUUGAAGAGGUGGAGAUCAAAGACUGGGGAUCGCAAGACCCGGCACUUGAAGAGGGGCCCGCGUCUGAUUAGCUAGNGGUGGGGUAAUGGCCUACCAAGGCAACGAUCAGUAUCCGGCCUGAGAGGGCGGACGGACACACUGGGACUGAGACACGGCCCAGACUCCUACGGGAGGCGGCAGUGGGGAAUUGUUCGCAAUGGGCGCAAGCCUGACGACGCAACGCCGCGUGGAGGAUGAAGAUUUUCGGAUCGUAAACUCCUGUCGAAUGGGACGAACAGAUUACGGGUUAACAGCCUGUAGUCCUGACGGU
rnacentral:rRNA from 1 species